GAGAAAGAUACAGUGGCUGUGGUGUUGGCUUGAAACCAAUAGUAGGGGGUUCGAUUCCUUCCUUUCUUACUUAUCCAUUUA
rnacentral:tRNA from 1 species